rnacentral:piRNA from 1 species
ACUUUUCUUCUCCCUAGGAGUCUUGG